rnacentral:tRNA from 1 species
GCACUAGUAGCUCAGCUUUCAGAGCGUCGGUCUUGUAAACCGGACGUCAGGGGUUAAAGUCCCCUCUACUGCU